rnacentral:other from 1 species
AGGUCCCUGCGCGGUUGGUGAUGAGCAGAACUAUUGCUGAACCAACACCUAUUUGAGGGGUUGCCGGGUUUUGGUGCUCCGUGGAGCGUCAGACAGGCACCCACCUGUGGUAACGCAGGUUCAAAUAGGCUUGCUCACACGGCCGUAGCGGGGGCCUC